rnacentral:rRNA from 1 species
GGAAUAUUGGACAAUGGUCGCAAGACUGAUCCAGCCAUGCCGCGUGCAGGAAGACGGCCCUAUGGGUUGUAAACUGCUUUUGUACCAGAGAAAACCUAUCUACGUGUAGAUAGCUGAUAGUAUGGUAAGAAUAAGCAUCGGCUAACUUCGUGCCAGCAGCCGCGGUAAGACGAAGGAUGCAAGCGUUAUCCGGAUUCAUUGGGUUUAAAGGGUGCGUAGGCGGGCUUGUAAGUCAGUGGUGAAAUCUCUCAGCUUAACUGAGAAACUGCCAUUGAUACUGCAGGCCUAGAGUAUAGAUGACGUUGGCGGAAUAUGACAUGUAGUGGUGAAAUACUUAGAUAUGUCAUAGAACACCGAUUGCGAAGGCAGCUAACGAAACUAUAACUGACGCUGAGGCACGAAAG